rnacentral:rRNA from 2 species
UAUGUCAAAACGACUCUCGGCAACGGAUAUCUCGGCUCUCGCAUCGAUGAAGAACGUAGCGAAAUGCGAUACUUGGUGUGAAUUGCAGAAUCCCGUGAACCAUCGAGUCUUUGAACGCAAGUUGCGCCCGAAGCCACUAGGCCGAGGGCACGCCUGCCUGGGCGUCACA